UAAGGAAAGUGCUUUUGUAUAAUCCCCCAUUCUGUGGGCUGAAGCAUUUUCAUGUCAGUUGUCCCACUUGUGGGCUGCCUCCUGAAUGCCAAGAUCGUUGCCACAUACAACUAUACCAGGUCCAUUACAGUCCAAAACGUGAGUGAAUUUUUGGAGUCACACUGAUACUUAAUGAAGAACAAAGGCGAAGAGGAGGAGGAGGAGGAAAAAGAUGCAAUUCUUAAAGAAUGCUACCUUUCAGUAUUGCUCCUAACUACAAAAUCCUUGGAGGUGGGACUCCAUCUGUGUUACUCAUGACUCUUUUCCAAGGCACCAAGAGCAACAAGUCAAGAGCAACAGUGGCAAAGCAAAUUUCAAAAUCAGAGAACACAGUCCAGUAUGUCAAUCAGUAUAAUGUACUAGCUGCUUUUUUGCAAUAAGAGCAAGAACAGAAGAACAUGAAAGUCAGCAUUUCAGGACUGAGUAUCCAUUGGUUGCAGCUAUCAUUCUGAUGUUAUCUAAGUGUAAGAUGGUUCUACCAAUUAUUCAAAAAACACAGCUAGGCUUAAAUUAGUAAUGAUAAACCAGAAUAUUUAUGAACAGAAUCAAAUUAUAUGCCUUGCCAAAGAUCUGAAGAUAAUGUAAGAAAUCACUGGCAGAAGUAAAAUAAAACAAUGUUAAAUAUAAGCUUUUAGAAAUGUGGAAUACUUCAGGUUUCUCGGUUCCAUAGUCUCCCAGGAUUUGAAAUGGACAACUAACAUUACAACCAUCACUAAAAAAGCACAACAAAGAACGUCCUCCUUUUGUCAAUUUAGGAAGUUCAGACUGC